CCUGUGCCCUACGGCGCCGACGUCGCCUAACCAACACACUGACGCCGCCAACGCUGGCGACACCUCUCCUCCCCGAGCAUACAAAACCCCUCUCCUCAGCCCGAGCAGCGGCAACCCUUUCUUCUUCCCCGACAGCCACUUCUUCCGCUCCUCACCCAAUUCCCUUCCUCUUCCCGAUCUAGUCGCGCCUUCUCCUCCUCUUGGUCGCAUCACCCUCGGGUCGCCACAGCCGACAGCAGCGUCGCCAGCCGAGCCCUAGAUCGGGGGAGAUCAGGAAUGUGCCGAUGCUCCUCUACGACGUCGAGCUUCUCCUCUUCCUCUCCUCCACUGUGUCUCUACUGACCUUGGUGGUGCCAUCUUCCCAGAGAGUUGUGCCCUAGCCGCCGCCGUCGCACGGAGCACCGCCAGUGACACCGUGCCCUAGAUCUGCCACAGUUUUCACUGAUUUGGUGCUCGCCUUCGUGUGCGGCCUUGUCGAAGCUGCCGAGCCACCAUCUGCUAGUUCGGGAAGGGGUUGUAGUUGGCUGAGUAGGGCUCCCACCCUCUUGUAUACCUGCGACCGUGAGCAACAACCACUACUGCCAAGGUUUCGGGCGCUGUUGACGCUGUGAACUGCCACCAAGGAGCUAUAGGGUCUGUGGAGUGUUCUUGGUCCGACAGCACCCCAACCAGUAGCUCUCCUGGUUUCCCCAAUCAACAGUGGUUGUUAAUUGAGGGAUUCUUGUCUGGUCCAGCAGAUCACCUUGCUUUCCAGUAGCUUGAUUGAGGUUGAGGCUGUUCAAGAGGUUCGAAUCGCUAGUCCCCCACCACUGCGCGUCGCGACGAGUUCGCAUAUUUCAGUUUCCUUAUUAUGUUAUAGACUAUAUUUCAUACUUGUAUCUUUUGACAUUUGGAUCUUGUAUGAUUUCUUAUUCUCGAUGGGUUUUCGUUUAGAUGCAUGCUGAUGAUUUGUGUUUUAUGGGUGUAGUUGAGUAGGAUAUCGGAUUUGUGCUUUAUGGGUGUAGUUAAGUAGGUUAUUUGAAAUGAUUAUCUUAUCGUUGCUUAAGUUAAUGUUUUACUAUUAAAC